rnacentral:rRNA from 1 species
CAAUAGCGUAUAUUAAAGUUGUUGCAGUUAAAAAGCUCGUAGUUGGAUUUCUGGUUGAAGCGACCGGUCGGGCGUUGAUUCGUCUGCACUGGAGUCGGUUUUGGCCAUCCUCUAGGAAAGUGCGUCUGGUAUUAAGUUAUCGGGCGUAUGAUCCUGGUCUUUUACUGUGAAAAAAUUAGAGUGUUUAAAGCAGGCCUUCGCCUUGAAUACAUUAGCAUGGAAUAAUAAGAUAGGACUUUGGUCUAUUUUGUUGGUUUGCAGAUCGAAGUAAUGAUUAAUAGGGAUAGUUGGGGGUAUUUAUAUUCCGAUGUCAGAGGUGAAAUUCUUAGAUUUUCGGAAGAUAAACUUAUGCGAAAGCAUUUACCAAGGAUGUUUUCAUUAA